AGCAGCCGCGGUAAUUCCAGCUCCAAUAGCGUAUAUUAAAGUUGUUGCAGUUAAAAAGCUCGUAGUUGAAUUUCGGGAUCGACGGGUCGGUCGCGCCUCUGGUGUGUACUGGCCCUGUCGGUUUCUCCCUUCUGACGAACUGCGAUGUCAUUAAUUUGGUGUCGUAGGGAAUCAGGACUGUUACUUUGAAAAAUUAGAGUGUUUAAAGCAGGCAUUCGCUUGAAUACAUUAGCAUGGAAUAAUGAAAUAGGACGUUUGAUCUUAUUUUGUUGGUUUCUAAGAUCGACGUAAUGAUUAAUAGGGAUAGUUGGGGGCAUUAGUAUUCAAUUGUCAGAGGUGAAAUUCUUGGAUUUAUUGAAGACUAACUACUGCGAAAGCAUUUGCCAAGGAUGUUUUCAUUAAUCAAGAACGAAAGUUAGGGGAUCGAAGACGAUCAGAUACGUCGUAGUC
rnacentral:rRNA from 1 species